rnacentral:rRNA from 1 species
UAGAGGAAGUAAAAGUCGUAACAAGGUCUCCGUUGGUGAACCAGCGGAGGGAUCAUUACCGAGUUUACAACUCCCAAACCCCUGUGAACAUACCAAUUGUUGCCUCGGCGGAUCAGCCCGCUCCCGGUAAAACGGGACGGCCCGCCAGAGGACCCCUAAACUCUGUUUCUAUAUGUAACUUCUGAGUAAAACCAUAAAUAAAUCAAAACUUUCAACAACGGAUCUCUUGGUUCUGGCAUCGAUGAAGAACGCAGCAAAAUGCGAUAAGUAAUGUGAAUUGCAGAAUUCAGUGAAUCAUCGAAUCUUUGAACGCACAUUGCGCCCGCCAGUAUUCUGGCGGGCAUGCCUGUUCGAGCGUCAUUUCAACCCUCAAGCCCAGCUUGGUGUUGGGACUCGCGAGUUAAACCGCGUUCCCCAAAUUGAUUGGCGGUCACGUCGAGCUUCCAUAGCGUAGUAGUAAAACCCUCGUUACUGGUAAUCGUCGCGGCCACGCCGUUAAACCCCAACUUCUGAAUGUUGACCUCGGAUCA